rnacentral:rRNA from 1 species
UCUGAUGGAGCACGCCGCGUGAGUGAAGAAGGGUUUCGGCUCGUAAAGCUCUGUUGGUAGUGAAGAAAGAUAGAGGUAGUAACUGGCCUUUAUUUGACGGUAAUUACUUAGAAAGUCACGGCUAACUACGUG